rnacentral:rRNA from 1 species
UACCAGCACCCCGAGUGGUCGGGACGUUUAUUGGGCCUAAAGCAUCCGUAGCCGGUUCUACAAGUCCUCCGUUAAAUCCAGCUGCUUAACAGAUGGGCUGCGGAGGAUACUAUAAGACUAGGAGGCAGGAGAGGCAAGCGGUACUCAGUGGGUAGGGGUAAAAUCCGUUGAUCCAUUGAAGAACACCAGUGGCGAAGGCGACUCGCUGGACCGGAUCUGACGCUGAGGCGCGAAAGCGUGGGGAGCAAACAGG